GCGCGCGCGGUUAGCGGGCAGCGAGGGUCGCCUGGGCGGUGCGCAGCACGGCGGGAACAUGGCGCGCGGAACUGGCGCGCGCGCCUAGCUGGCGGGACCGUUAGAUCGAGGCGGACGCGGCCUGGACCCCGUGGAUAUGGAGCAGUCGCCGCCGCUGGCGCCGGAGCCCACCCAAGGGCCAACCACCGCAAGGAGCUGAAGGCGGCGGGAGCCCGAGUCGCCGCCGGCGUCGGUGCCGUCAAAGAAGAUGGCCAGGGAGACAGCAGCAUGGUCAGAGUGGUAGGAGCUGGCCAUCAGUGAGAGCUGCUCCGUGCCUGGCUGCUGGGUGCUAGAGCCUGUGGACCACUGGUUUGCCUCACUGGUUGGUGGUGGCGGUGACAGAGUGUGCAGCACGACCAGAGUGGCUUUUCUGGCUUUGCCCGCCCAGCUGCUCCAUGCCAGGAGGAGGAGGAGACACCUAGAGCCUGCGACACCGUGGCUCGCCUCGCUGCAGUGUAGGUUCUACCCAUGUAACAGAUGAGGAAACCAAGGAGCACAGUUAUUUACUAACUCGCACAAGGUUUGAGGCCAAGCUCAGACCUGUGGAGCAGAAGCUGAGUGCGCUGCAGUCCCCGCUGGCCCAGAGGCCCUUCUUCGAGGUGCCCUCACCCCUGGGCGCCGUGGACCUGUACGAGUAUGCAUGCGGGGAUGAGGACCUGGAGCCACUGUGACGCCACCCAUGAGAAAGCCGCUGCGGGGCCGCUCCACACGUGCCACGGCCACCACUGGGACACCGCCGCUUGUGUAAAAACUGUUGUCUUUUGUGGAAAAUGAGUGUGUUUGCAUGGAAUGAUAAAUUUUUAUUUAUUC